AGAAGAACAAAAAAAAAAGAGAGAAGUAAGAAGCUCUUCCUUCUUCUUGUUCUGUUCGCUUUCUCUCUUUUCUUUCCAUUU
rnacentral:ribozyme from 13 species